UACGGUCGCAAGAUUAAAACUCAAAGGAAUUGACGGGGACCCGCACAAGCGGUGGAUGAUGUGGAUUAAUUCGAUGCAACGCGAAAAACCUUACCUACCCUUGACAUGGCAGGAAUCCCGGAGAGAUUUGGGAGUGCUCGAAAGAGAACCUGCACACAGGUGCUGCAUGGCUGUCGUCAGCUCGUGUCGUGAGAUGUUGGGUUAAGUCCCGCAACGAGCGCAACCCUUGUCAUUAGUUGCUACGCAAGAGCACUC
rnacentral:rRNA from 1 species